GUUUCUAGAAUGCACAGAUAUUAAGAAGGGACAAUUGAAAUCAGAAGAAGAGGGUAAAUAUUUUGAACAAAAAUGCAUUUUGAAACGAAUGCAACUGGAGCAGAAUUGGGUAUUUAAUGAGAGUAAUCCUUUUGUGUUCCACCUAGUCUAAGAAGCUUCACCAUGCUUGGCUUUUUGCAAAGCUUGCCCCUACUUAAUCUGUAAAGUGUAUAUGGAAGGAAAUGAUGAUAAUUCAAAUAGCAGUUGAGGAAAACAAAAUUAAUUCUUGGCUCCGACACUAUGCUUUUUUAAAAGUACCAACCUACUAAAAUGCAUUUUUCUGAAAUAACUGGUAUCUAUUAAAAAAAUCCAAAGGUUUCAGAUAUGUAGCUAAAUGAGUAAUGUAGGUCAGAAUCAGUCCCCAUUAACUGACAGUUUGGGAAAUACAUAGACAAUGCAUAGUAGAUAUCAUGAUAACUAAUAACUCUAAGAUUACAUCAAACUGGAUUAUCUUCCAACAGUACCACAUAAAACCAGAUGAACAUGGUAAAGUUUUACAGUUCACUCAGACAUUCAAAUUUGUUUUAAUAUGCAUAUUUUAGUCAUGAAUUGAAUUUUAAUUGGGGUGAUGUUAGGCAAAACAUUCUCCAUUUUAUAGUGAGAAUCUUCCAGAAUUGAUGGCAUAUUCUCCCCAUGUUUUCUUGUGGAAUUUCUUGUUCAGUGUAUGUUCUGGGUAGAAAUCUAAACAUGAAACAAACUACCUUGUCCUUUUUCCCUCGCCACUCCCCCAAAAAACAACAACAAUAACCUUGCAGUACUUUAAAAAAACCUACUAAAAACAUUUCAUUUAUUAGUAGUUGAAGAACAGUCACUUUUAGUUAUUCUGGCAGGUGGUACAAAUUAUCUUGUUCAAGAUAAUUAAAGAACAUCUCCACCAUGAGUUUUUGUAUAACUCCAAACUGUGGCAUAAACCAAGAAGCAUUUAAGACUCUGUAAAACCAAAACUAAGGUAAUUUUAAGGUUAUAGUGAAAGCUAAUAUUCAUUGAGUGCCCCAUCUGUGACAAGUAUUGUGCUAAUCCUCACAACACUUACUUGAAAAGGAUGCUAUUUUCAACACAUCUGCAGAUCAUGAAACCAUGAGAAACAGAUGUUCUCAUUUCUUGAUUAUAAGGCUGGUGAGCGUUGGAGCUUGAAAGUAAACUCUGACCUGUGUAUCUCUGCUCUUAGGUCCCUUAAAUAGUAGGAAGAAAAAGAUAAUAUAAAACGAAGACCCAUAUCAAAUAAUGCUUUGUUGGAAAGGUCCCAACUAGAUACACUGUAUGCUGAAUUUUAAAGAGAAACUAUUUUGGAUACAUAAAUCCCUCCUACACUUGAACCACAGGGAAGUGUGACUUAAAUAGAGCAUAUGGUGCAUGCAAUAGAAAUUAUAUAGUCUAAUGCUUAAGUUGUAGGUCAUAUGCAUUUUUCUACAUCUCCAGGCCAGGACAGUAUGCCUACACAGUAUGUUGAGUGUGUAAAUAAGGUAGGAAUCAAUGAUAACAAUGCUGGAAAGGAAUACAAUUGUAAAGAAUUUAGUAGAGAGUAUAUUGGAGCAAUGUGGAAUUUAGAGUUCUUGUUUAACAUUCCCCAACAUAUACUCCAUUAAUUCUACUUUCACUCAAUAUCUCUCAUAUACAGAAUCACAUAGCCUGCCUGCUAUGUGAUAAAUAAUCAACACGGUGACAUGGCUUUGGAAUCUGUGUGUGAAGGUUCAAAUUGUGGCUAAACCUCUCCUAAGGUCAUUGAUGUGUAGGCAACUACCACACUCAGAGGACCACUAGAGGACUAUAUUAAGUCCUUCAGUAAAUUGUACAUUUAUUUAAUAAAUUUGCAGGAGUGCAGGAAGGUAGAAGUACAGAAAUUGUCAUUUUCUAAAGAAUGCUGCACACCAUGUUAGUUUCUGAAAGAUUUACAGUUCUUCAGCAUGUUGAAAGUAUGUCAGGAAUCCUUGCUUAACAGUUUUUUGACCUAGUAUUCCAAACCACUGACAUGGAAUAUUUUUCUAUAAAAUUAACAUCCCUAAAAUGGGAGUUAUAAAGCAUAUAUUUUGGGAAAUGAUGAUUAGUAAUUCUUUAUAUUUUGUAGGAAACGAUAAUUAGGAUGUGAGGAUUGUGGCUUCAAGUUCAGUUACAAAAUAACAGAAUUUGAGCUAAAGUACAAUAAGGCAAUAUAUAUUUAUUACAUGUCAAACCCAGGAUAUGCAAUUAGAUAGCAUAUGGUGAAGUCCUUAUUCUAAUACCCUAAAUCUGGGUGACUUUUGAAAAAGUUCUUGCCAAAUUGUGCCUUGUUUUUAUUUUAUUUAGUUUUUGUUAUUUCUGACUAAUAUUUAAACUUUCCUCAUUGGAUUACUGACAGUUUGCAGGGAUAACACAUAUAAAAUUUAUGUUAAACAAGACAUAUAGUAAUGGUAAUAUACAAUUAUUUUUGGUUGUAGUAUGUUCAUUAUGGUUGAGUGGAUUAUAGAGGUUAAGAAGAAUCAUCACAAAGCAUUACUAGGUCUAUGUGCUUUUAUUCCCUGAUAUUUGAAAACAGAACUUUAGGGUUGCUCUUGCAUACUGCUAGAGAGUAUGAAGCAAUCUUGUUGAGACUUCAGUAUAAGAAAAACAAACCAACCUUUGGAGCCAGGUAAAGUGGCAAAUGACUUUAAUUUCAGUGACUUGGGAGACUGAGGCAAGAGGACAAGUUCCAGGCCAGGCUGGGCAAUUUAGCAAGACCUUGUCUCAAAAUAAAGAUUAAAAAAAAGGGGCUGGAUAUAUAACUGAGUGGUAAAAUGCCUCUGGGUUUAAUUCUCAGUAGAAAAUAAAAAAGGAAAAGAAAAGAAAACCUUUGAAAUCUUUCAUAUACAUAAUCACAUUGCCUGCCUGCCAUGUGAUAAAUAAUUAGCAUGGUGAUAUGGUUUUGGAAUCUAUGUGUGACAGUUCAAAUAGUGGAUUAACAUCUCAUAAGGUCAUUGAUGUGUAAGCAACUAACACACUCAUAGUACCACUAGAGGACCAUAUAAGUCCUUCAGUAAAUUGUAAAUUUAUUUAAUAAAGUUCCCAAACCCAUAUCACUGGUCCUCGUUACCUCACCCUGCAAUGAUUUAUUUUCUAGAUGUCCAAGUUGAUCAUACCAAUUACACAGUAACACAAUUACACAGUGAUUUUUGCAUUUCAACUGCUUCUUGGAGAAUAUUGCGGAAGAGGAAGAGAUAGACUUGAUAUGCACACAGAAAUACUACAUAUGGUUUUCCAGCUCAAUCAUAUUUGAUUAGAGAGGAAAAUUCUCUAAAAAGUUGUUUUUGAACAUACAUUUCUAUUUUUUUCAGAAAAAAAUAUUGCCUGUCUUCCCCUGUGCUCCACAUCAUAUGAGAGAAAAAUCUUGAUAUGUUAUGUGCAUUUUUCUAUGAAUGAAUGACACAUUUGAAGUUUAUUCAAUUGUAUAUCAAUUACCCAUAUAAAAGCAUCUUUAGAUAGAUGUUCUCAGUAUUUUGAACAAUACUGACUUUUCUGAAACUAUUUUUUGUUAACAACGUACAGAAUUUCAACUGUUUGUAGACAAAUGAUCUUUAUGUGUUAGCCAGGGAACUUGAGAACUCAUUUGUAAUAUUAGGUCCAUGAGAAAAUAAAUCCUAUGCUCUAAAAAUUUAUCUUAUUAAUUAACUUUCCGUAAAAAAAAAAAUUUGUAAAUUGGGGACUGUGAAAAAUAAUGUUUCUCAACAUUAUUUUGAAUAGC
rnacentral:lncRNA from 1 species